GGGAGGAGAAGUUAACCUGGGCCCAGGUGCGUCCCGCUCGGCAUCUCUCCGCUCCUCUGCGCACAGGAUGGAGGGUGCCCGGGCGGCGUGGGGGGCGUCGAAGGAAGACCGAGCCGGAGCCGAGUUCGAAAUGGAUUCCUUGGGAAACCAGGUCCCGGAGCUGGAGCAGCAGCAGGAUCCCGCGGAGGAAAGACGCCCUGAGAGUCCUGAGAACAGCUUGAGUCUGGCCCCCGCCAAAGAGGCGGCGGGCACGGGCCAGGACCUGUCGGGCGGGAAGAUGCUGCCUUUGCCUCGCCCCGCCCCCCUGCGAUUGCUGCCACCCAGCCUGGGCUAUGGCGCCUUCCGCCGCCAGGCGUCGACCGGCCCGGAGCCACCGUCUCCGGACCCCGCCGCGGCCGAGCAGCCCCGGGACGCCGAGACGCCGGAGACCGAGCUGAUACCCAAGGCAGCGCCGGGUGAGCCAGCUCCGGGCGCCUGGACCCCGGUGGAACUGCAGGUAGACGUGCGCGUGAAGUCUGUGGGCACGGCCGGCGGCAGCCGCGCGCCCUCGCCGGCGCCCUCCACGCGCUUCCUCACCGUCCCGGUGCCCGAGUCCCCGGGCUUCUCCCGCCACGCCUCCCCCGCGCACACCCUCCUGCGGCGGACCCCGUCCCCGGGAGGCACGUGGGGCCGCGGCACGCCGCCGGCAGCCGCCGGGACUGAGCGCGGCCUCGACGCCGAGGGCUGCGCCACUCCCGCGGAGAGGCGUGCAGAGUCCUCGGGCUCCCCUAUGUGCCGCUGCCGCUGCCGGGAGGACUCCGUGCUCCUGCCCCACGCCGAGCUGGACGGAGACAAGAAGAUGUCCCGGAUCAUAAAGCGCGUAGGGCUGCCCAUGUACAUGAGGUCCCUGCGCUGGGCCCUGGCAGUCAUGGCCGUGCUCCUGGCAGUGUUGGCGGUGGCUGUUGUGGCCUUGGCCUCGAAAACAGGGAUCAGAUGCCGACCAUGCCCCCAGGGCUGGAUGUGGUCCGAGGGGCAGUGCUACUACCUCGCUGCCGAAGCUGAGGCCUGGGAGACCAGCCAGGCUUUCUGCUCAGCCCACCAGGCUACCCUCCCCCUGCUGAGACACACCCAGUUGUUCAGAGUCGCCUGUUGGGGGGACUUCCCUGAUGGCUCAGUGGUAAAGAAUCUGCCUGCCAAUGCAGGGGACACAGGUUCGAGCCCUGGCCUGGGAGGAUCCUACAUGCCAUGGAGCAAUUAAGCCUGAGCACCCCACAGCCUGUGCUCUGCAACUGGAGAAGUCACCGCAAUGAGAAGCCCGUGAACCACAACAUACAGUAACUCCCGCUCUCUGCAACUAGAGAAAACCCAUGUGUGCAGCAAUGAAGACCCAGCCCAGCCAAAAAUAAAAGAUCGCAGAAUGGUGCUGGAUAAAACUCAUGAGGAGGCAGUUAUGUAGCCCUGACAAGCCGGCGUGGGAGGCUAGGGAAGAGCUGAACCAGGGUGAAGACCCUACAAGGGACUUGGCAAAAGGCGUAAGUUCCCCAGGAAACUCUUAGAGGAGGAGAUAAUGAACCUCUACCCUGAAAUCUUAGAAGCGUAAACAUCUAGAAGACCAGUGCCAUCCUUGCUGGACUAGACCUGAGGAACACAAUGGGAAAGAGAGACCCUGCUGCAGAAGGGAAACAAACCUUGCCCAAGGUCAUCCAAACCUUGUCUGGUUCCAUAGCCCUGACACUGACUUCUCUGAAUGGGCAAGUGAGGCCCUAGUAGAUCUUAAGUUGCUUUCCAGAAAGAAGCUGUGAGAAGGAAACUAAGGUGAACAAGACUGCUGCAGUGCUGGCUUUGGUUAAACAAAACUCUUCAGAAGGUAAGUUCCUUUAAUAACUUGUUAGGUUACCAGAAUGACUGUUCUUUUGACCUCCCGGGCUUGGAAGAACAAUGAUUAGGAUUUCUCAGACUCUGGCAAAAGCAGGUACUCUCUCUAGCUGUUGGAUAUGUUACUCCAAACCUUUUUAUAUAUUUGAUCAUGCUGACCCCCUUAGUUAUGCCUGUCAGCAAUUUUCCACCACCUCUGCCUUCACUGACACUUAGGAAAAGAGCCCUCAGAUCUUAAGGUCGGGUUGGACUAAUCAACCCAAUUUCCAGUCCCCCGGAAGCUGAAACUUGGUCCUCUCCUUGUGUCCUCAAAUAACCCUGGGUGUCUUUCCCCUUUAAGAGUCCACUUGGUCAGAAUAUUGUAGCGAUCAUACUUAAUCUUCCCAGCCCAUGUCCCUUCCAUAUUUAGUAUCUAAGUGUUUCAGUUAAACUGGUUAACAACUGAGGCACUUUAGGUCAAAGUAAGCCACUGACCCCUGACUUGAUGUGUGAAGUUUAUCAGUAUGUCUCGCACUUACAUUUUGUGUGCUUUGCCCUCCCCUCCCCACCAAGGUACAUCUUUUUGAUGACCAACUUUGGCCUAUAAAUGCUGUGACAGCUGGCACAUAGGUGCCGUUUGCUUACUGGGGUCAAAAUGUUAACUUGAAAUCAGGAGUAAGAGUAUUUUCAAAUGAGUGCUAAUAGCCUCAUUACUAAGUCCUUGUUAGGUCUACACACCCCUUAUCAGCAAAAAGUAUUCAGAGUGGGCGCUGCCAUUCCUUCCUCAAGACUAAGGAACAAGGGACUUUCUCAAUGGAUGAGUGGUUAAGAAAAUGCGUGUCCACUGCAGGAGAAACGAGUUUGAUCCUUAUUCAGGGAACUAAGCUCCCAGAGCCGUGUGGUACAGUCAAAAAACUAAAUUUUUAACACUUAAAUAAAAGAUUGAAGAAUGAUCCAAAGAUGCAGUGGGCUGAAAUGGUGCAUGAGGAUUAGUCAAAUCUGCUUUACCUGCCUCACUGCUCGCGGUUAACAUCUGUAUUUUCCUAGGAGGCCAGGAGCCUGAACACUAAGAUGGCUGGCUGGGCUCCUUCCCGGGCACUUGGGAGUCCCAACCGCACCUGGUGCGAGUGAACUGGUUAAGGCUGGCGAGAACCACCCCCAACCCACCUCCAGCGGAGCACGCUCAGACACCUGCCUGGUGACCUUUCCAACCUGCAGAGGCCUGUAGCUUAGUUCCACUAGUGCAGAAUGACCCCUGCACAUUUUCCAAUCACCUUUCCCCGUGCACCCCACACCUCCCUGCUUCUUUUUAUUGAAGUACUGCUGAUUUACAAUGUUGUGUUAAUUACUGCUGUAUAGCAAAGUGAUCUGGUUAUACAUACAUAUUUAAUACUUUUCCAUUAUGGUUUAUCAUAGGGUAUUGAAUGCAGUUCUCUGUGCUAUACAAUAGGGCUUUGUUCAUAAAAGCUUACAGGGAAUUCCCUGGCGGUCCAGUGGUUAAGACUCCACGCUACCACUGCAGGGGGCCUGGGUCUGAUCCCUCGUCGCUGAGUUAAGACCCCAAGAGCCAUCCAGUGCAGCCAAAAAACCCCCAAAAACCCCAAGCAACCAAACAAAAACCAACCUUCUACUCCAUCUGUCUUGAUCUUUUAUGGUUCCAUAUAAUUUUAGGACUGUUCUAGUUCUGUGAGAAACAUCAUGAGUAAUUUGACAGAACACUGAACCUGCAGAAUGCUUUGUGCAGAAUGGGUAUUUUAACAAUGUCAAUUCUUCCAAGGCAAGGCAUGCUGCCCUGCUUCAUAACUCAUCAUCCUAUCAAUACUCUGACACCUUUGGGGUGGCCGGUUUAAGAUCUGUUCUCCCAUCUCCUCACUCAGCUGACUUGCCAAGAAACCCUCUUUUGCCUUAAACCUUGGCAUUUCAGCAUUUUGGUUCCCUGUGUGUCAGGCAAGAUGAAGCUGGUUUGGGAACAGUUCAUCUGGGUUAUCUGGUGCUACCCUGAGAAUGGAGCUGCCACAUGGAACUCAAGCAGGUGAGUUUUGAGUGAUCUCCUUGUAUAAGGCUGAUGGAGCUGGGUCUUCUGUUACAAGCAGUCAGCAGUACCCAGGUACAGGAGUGACCCUAGAAGCCUCUCCCAGAGCAGUAUCAGCAGAUUCAGGUGUGGGCGCUUCCUACAAGGCUUCACUUGGCUGAAUCCUCGACCGAGAGCCCAGUUCUGCGAGUCUGAAUGCCUUACUUGCAGCCUGAACCCUGUUAAGCUGUCGGUUUGGUUUGACCCUUGGUGUAUUUGUAGACCCCAAACCUCUGACAUCCUGGUCUCUGCCGACACCUGGAAAACAUGGAGGCCCACCUUGAAGUUCAGAACACCUGCUGCCCCAAUUACCCAAGUCCUGCUCACCUGUGGCCCCAGCACUACUCACUCCACUGGCAGUCCCAUGCCUGGCCCUCCAAGUCAGCCUCUGCCACCAAACCUCUGUUCUCAGCCCUCUCCUGCCUUCCCUAACUCUGCUGAAGGUCUGGUCCUUCUCUACAGUGGUUGUUACAGUCCUGAAGCAGCUGGAAUAUAAUCAGCAAGGGCCCAGGUGGAGCAACAAUUCAGCUUGAAUCUCUGAAUGGAAUAUGGAGAAAGAAGACUGAGAUGCUGCCUAAGAAUAAGGACAUGUACUAAGCCCAGAGAAAUGAUGACAAACUAUGAGAUGAGUAUCAACUAACAUUUUGCCAGAGGUUACAAUGUCCUGUACAGAAGCAAUUUCUACUCAGUAUACCAGUAAUUCUGAUGAAACAGCUACUCUUCUACUAAGUAGAUAAGGAGAGACAGGAGGGGUAACUAGAUAAUUUGGCCAAGGCCCUUUUCAUCCAAGUAGUCUGACUCUGAAGUCUGCACUGUAUGCACCUGAACACAGCAGAAAAAUGCACAUGGUCCUCGUUUACCAAGGGUGGAAGUUCCCAGCAAAAGCCACAAGCAGACUCUACUGAGGCCAAUACUUCACAGUUGAAGCAGAAGAAAGCCAAGUCAUAAAAGACCUUUAACUGGGAUUUUUACUUUGAAAUUAAAACUGGUACUAUGUAGCAAUA